CAUAAAUGUGAUUUUCCAAUUCUGUUGCCACUAUUAACAGAAAUUUUUAAUAUCAGUUUAUUACAUCUGUAUAACUUGUAAAAUGAUACACUACAAUAGCAAAGACUGAAGUAUUGGCAUUUAUCUGGUAAUAAAUAUGCAACCAGUCACUUUUUUAAAGAUUUAUUCAACCUUGAACAUAUUUUCGAGCCUCAUCUUCAGAUGGAAGUGUUACAGGAACAUUGUUGUGGACCAAGUGUAGCUAGAUGCACUGCUGGUGCUGUUCGCAGAAAUGUCGGAAAUUUAGUAAUCGGCAAUGAAACGUUUACGAAUCUGAAAGUUAUUUUGUUAUAGGUACUUACAGUACACUGCCUUCCGGUAUUCACAUCAGAUUGCUUGUUAUAACAUGCAUUAUUAAGCUAUGUACACAAAUAAACAGUAUGUAGCUACACUUGGUUUUACACAGGCUCACAGGAUGUAAACAUUUGAUGUUUUUACAAAUAUGGAUUUGACAGAUACUACAUAAUAGUCUUUGGCAUGAGAUGCAUUGUAUUAUGGUGCAAAUUUUACUAGUACAGAUUUUACAUUUCAGUAAAUGUUUCUAGCUGCAUACAAAAGGUAAACAGCAAGAGAUGAAUAUUUAAUACAUAAUUAGAAACUACUUUUAAGUUACAGAAUAUAAUAGUCGUUAAACGCCAAGAACAAGAUUGAUGUAGGAAGAUGAAUUAUUGUCAUUUUUAUUGUUCUGGUGCCAGGAUAUCCUGGGAGAAAAGGUUUUGUGUUGACUGUCUGUUGAUUCAGGAGGUUUUGGGAUGAUUUUAGUUUAUGGAUGAAAAUUUCUAACUGUUCAAGGAGGUCCAUCUCUCUUCCUUUCUCAGCAAUGUGUAGCACCGAAAGACUGUCGUUGAUAUCAUCAACCGAGUGUUCAUGAUAAGCAACAUGUGAUGCAAAACUGGACUUAAGUUUUUGAGUUGAAGGGCAUCCAUAUGUUCUUUGUAGCGGGUUGCAAAAUUUCUCCCGCUUUGGCCUUAUGAAGAAGGAAAUACAGUAGCAUGUGAGUUUGUAUAUGCCAAUCUCCAGUGGAUUUGUUACUGUGAACAAUUUUAUUUUGUAGUUUUUCAGUGUGGAAGGAUACUUCUGUUGUGCAGUCUGAAAAGAUUUGCAAGUUUAUAUGACAUUUUUACCAGGAAUGGAAGAUACACCGAUUUUGGCGUUUGUUUCUUAGUUUGUAAUGGUGAUUGCUUGAGUUUACUUUGGAUUCUUUUCAACUAGGGUGUUUAUCAAAGAGGCAUUAUAGCCAUUAUUUUGGGCUAUAGAUUUAAGCAUGUUCUUUCAUUUACAUGCAUCUUCUUUACUGAUAGGGGUGCAGAGCAUACGGUUCACAGAUGACGUGAAGAAAGCAGUUUUAUGUUUGUUCGGGUGGCAUGAGGUAUUUUUAAUGGUAACAUCACUGGUAGUGGGUUUUCUGUAUAUUUGGAAGGUAUGCUUGUUAUUGUGAGUGGAGAUAGUCAUGUUAAGGAAGUUAAUUCCUUCAUUGAUCUGGUGUUCAACUGUGAAUUUAAUAUUUGGGUGCAUUUUAUUCAUUUCAUGUGCUAGGUUAUUUUUUUCUUCUUUUGGACCAUUGAAAAGUAUUAUUGUGUCAUCCACAUAUCUUUUAUAGUACAUAAUUUUGUCAGUAAAUUGUGGGUGUGUUAAGUAGUAGUCUUCUUCCAGAUUAUGUAUAAAUAUGUCAGCAAGGCUGCUGCCCAUCACCAGACCAUUGUUUUGCAUGUAAAACUUGCCAUUAAAUGAAAAAUAGUUAUGUGAGAUGUCCAAUUCCAGCAACAUAAUGAGUUCAUGAAUUUCUGCACUGCUUAGCUAUUUAUAUUAUUGUGUGAGUAUCUGUCCAGGGGAUAUUGGUGUAGAGGUUUACUAUGUCUUUGGAAGCAAACUUUGCUGUGCCUGGCACUAUUAGAUCUUUAAUGCAGUUAAUUAACUCAGAACUGUUGUUAAUUGAAAAGCUGUUUUCAAAUGUGUAAUUUUUUCUUCAGUUGCAUAUUUCUUACCAGGUAAACGCCAAUUUAAAUCAGUUGCAGUUUGUCAUACACAAUGGAUAUACUGAAAUCUACAGUAUGUGAAAUGAGACACUUGUUACAGUAAGGUUAUUCAUAAUUGGUUUAGUAUAUGGGAACUAUACAGGUACUGAACAAAAUUAAAAUGAAGUAUAUCAAAAUUGAACUCAUCAGUUUUACUUGUUGACAGUUCAAAUCAUUUAUAUGAAUUAAGUAAGGCUGGACCAAAAUUAAAAGGUUGUAGCAGCCUGUUUUAGCAAAAGUGAAGCAUGUAAAUAAAUGUUGUUACACCUCAUGUAAUGCUGAAGCAUGUUAUGUAAGUUAUUGAAAUACUUCAACUGUAAAGCCAAAACCAAAUAAAUUAAUUAAAAACCA